UCCCCGCUCUGCGCGUCACUGCCGAGGCUCUUCUACAGCCCGCAUCUCUUCCAGAGGCUCCAGAACGCUCCCCGGGUGGAGGACAUAACAGAUGGACUUUCUGAGCGGGCCGCCGGCCACAGGGGCUGAGGGACUUCGGUUUGGGGCAGCGCAGGCGGAGGGCGCGCGCGUCGCUGAACCGCGGGGGCGGGAGCGCAAAGCGCGUCUGUCCGAAGGCAGCAGCGGCGUCUUGGGGCCACAGACCCCGCGGAAAGCUCUGAAAGCCGCUCCCGGGAGCCGCCCCUGCUCACCCGCCUUCUCACCGCCCCGGCUGCCUGACUUUGCACUGCUCGGCUCCGGGGGUUCCUUUACUUGGAAAACAUCCUGUUCAGCUCUGUCCGUGCAAACCUAGCCUCACCCUUAAGGCCAGGUGCGCCGCUUCACCCCCAAAGAUGCAGGAACGCCGACCUCCAGGAAUCACGAGCACUUACAACAGGAGGUCUCCUGAAGUUAGAUGUGACUUGCUUGGGCCAAUGAAACCAUCCAAGUAGAGGGAACAGGAAAGCAAGUUCCCAUUUAGACUUUAGGAUUCUGGGGACCAGAGUGGCUGAAGCAAAGCAAGGGAGGGCUUCUGAGAGGACACACUAGAGGGAGGACAGAGACUCUUCUGCCAACCAGUGAUGCCUGAUCCUGACAGCUAUAAAAAAGGCCAAACUAAUACACAAGAGAGAAGUUUGGCUGAUUGGUGUGAUCAAACAAUCUCCUGCCUACUCCUCUGUCCCCCAGUACAAUUCCACUAAUGAAGGCCUGAAACCUAACAACAAGCGAAAACGGUUUCACCAAAGAGUCACUGGCAGGCCAAUUCUUCAAGGAACCCGAAAAUCACUCUACCCAAUGUUUAUGGCAUUACGAUUUCUUAGAGGAAGACAGAGAUGGAUCUUUUCCAGGUAUACAAUGUGAAAAUAAAAUUCACUUAUGCACUUGGUCCCGGUAUCAUCUGAGGACACAUUUCCUAAUUACUUUUCCGUACACUUGCCAAAAAGGGGGAAAUUAGAUCAAAGAUCUUUGAAACUGUGCCGUAUUGAAAUCCUUAAUACUUCAGACAAGUAACAGCAUGAUUAGCAUGCUAGUGGACUCAUUACAAUUCUGAAAUUGAAAAGCCCAUGUGGCAACCAUUAUUUGAAGUGCCCCUGGAAAACAAAUUUUCUUGUUCAUAAAGCAGAGCCUGGGUAGCCAAUGACAGUAGUGGACCAUAGAGAACGUUAAAGGCCUUGCCUAUCUUUCUGCUUCCUUCCUUUAGGCUUCCACAUCUUUCUUCUCUCUGUUCUACACAUGUAGGAGAAUCUGGGUCAAUUAUAGCAGAAGAGGUAGAAAAAUAGAAAACAUGAGCAUAAAGAGAUUUUUAAGGAGGCUACAGAGUGUACCACAGAUUGCUGAUAAAGCUGUACCUUCCUACUAUUUCUUAUUUCUGGAUACAGCUUGCAGGGACAUUUUGGUAUGAACUAGGAAUCUCAUGGGUUAUAAGAUAACCAUGGAAAAGUUUGGAACAAAGAUAUCUUAAUAUUGUCUGAAUAAAUAUGUUUGAUAUUAUAAUACCCCCUUCCUUAUUAUUAUAUUAUAUUGAACAUUAUGUUCCUGAAAUACUAUGCUAUGGGCAAAACCCCACUAUUUAGAAGGGAGGAAAGGACAUUGGAAACAAUAGGGUUAAAAGUUUUCUUUUUGUUUGAACUACAAGGUUUUGCGUGGGCCUCCUACAGGUAUUUAGGGUGUUCUUAGUUUCUGUGAAACCUCAGUGAGAAUAUAUUCCCAUAAUUGUAUUUUAAUAAUUCUUACAGGUGUAUUGUAAAACUAUUCUACCCUGCUCUGCAAAUCUGUUUACAUUUCAGUUACCAAAGAGGAGGAUUUUCUGAAAGAUUGGCUUUCAAAUUCUGAAUUUAACUGUGUGCCAUUAGCCCAGUAAUCGAAAGGCAUGGGGUGAGGAUGGGGGCUGAGGUGAGGAAUCAGAAGCUCUGGUUAGCAAUACUCUCUCCUCUGUUCUUCCACAGUCACAACUUAAAGUGAAGGUUACUUUCUGCCUCUCUCUGUGUCUCUCAUGAAUAAAUAAAUAAAAUAAAAUCU